UACGUAGGGGGCGAGCGUUGCUCGGAAUCACUGGGCGUAAAGCGCACGUAGGCGGACUCUUAAGUCGGUGGUGAAAUCCUGGAGCUCAACUCCAGAACUGCCUCCGAUACUGGGAGUCUUCGAGUCCGGGAGAGGUGAGUGGAACUGCGAGUGUAGAGGUGAAAUUCGUAGGAUAUUCGCAAGAACACCAGUGGCGAAGGCGGCUCACUGGCCCGGUACUGACGCUGAGGUGCGAAAGCGUGGGAGCAACAGG
rnacentral:rRNA from 1 species